GGGAGUGAAAUAGAACCUGAAACCCUGCACUUACAAGCUGUGGAAGCACAUUUCUUGUGUGACCGCGUACUUUUUGUAGAACGGGCCAACGAGUUACGUUAAGUAGCAAGGUUAAGCACUUAAGGUGUGGAGCCGUAGCGAAAGCGAGUUUUAACUGAGCGUUCAGUUACUUGACGUAGACCCGAAACCGGGCGACCUACCCCUGAGCAGGAUGCAGCGAAAGUUAACUUUCGUGGAGGUCCGACACCACGUGCGUUGAAAAGCUCGGGGAUGACUUGUGGGUAGCGGUGAAAUUCCAAUCGAGCCCGGAGAUAGCUGGUUCUCCCCGAAAUAGCUUUAGGGCUAGCCUCAAGGUGAGAGAUACGGAGGUAGAGCACUGAAUGUCCUAGGGGGUAUUGCACCUACCGAAG
rnacentral:rRNA from 1 species